GAUGAGCGCUGGCGGCGUGCCUAAUACAUGCAAGUCGAGCGAACAGACGAGGAGCUUGCUCCUCUGACGUUAGCGGCGGACGGGUGAGUAACACGUGGAUAACCUACCUAUAAGACUGGGAUAACCUCGGGAAACCGGAGCUAAUACCGGAUAAUAUAUUGAACCGCAUGGUUCAAUAGUGAAAGACGGUUUUGCUGUCACUUAUAGAUGGAUCCGCGCCGCAUUAGCUAGUUGGUAAGGUAACGGCUUACCAAGGCAACGAUGCGUAGCCGACCUGAGAGGGUGAUCGGCCACACUGGAACUGAGACACGGUCCAGACUCCUACGGGAGGCAGCAGUAGGGAAUCUUCCGCAAUGGGCGAAAGCCUGACGGAGCAACGCCGCGUGAGUGAUGAAGGUCUUCGGAUCGUAAAACUCUGUUAUUAGGGAAGAACAAAUGUGUAAGUAACUAUGCACGUCUUGACGGUACCUAAUCAGAAAGCCACGGCUAACUACGUG
rnacentral:rRNA from 1 species